rnacentral:RNase_P_RNA from 1 species
CAGCUGCGAGUGUGAGCCGAAAGGCUGCAUUUGAGGAAAGUCCGGGCUCCACAGGGCAAGGAUAACGGCUAACGGCCGCCGGGGGUGACCCCAGGGAAAGUGCAACAGAGAUAUACCGCCUGUAUCCGUACAGGUAAGGGUGGAAAGGCGAGGUAAGAGCUCACCGCUCCCUUUGGUAACUCAGGGAGCCUGUAAACCCUAUCCGGAGCAACACCGCAAUAAAGCAUUUCAACAUCUGCCCGAUGGCUUUGAAUAGGUGGCAUUGAGCAGUGCCGGCAACGAGCUGCCAAGAUAGAUGGCUGUUCACGACAGAACCCGGCUUAUCGUUUCACUCC